AAGUCGAGCGGAUGAGAAGAGCUUGCUCUUCGAUUCAGCGGCGGACGGGUGAGUAAUGCCUAGGAAUCUGCCUGGUAGUGGGGGACAACGUUUCGAAAGGAACGCUAAUACCGCAUACGUCCUACGGGAGAAAGCAGGGGACCUUCGGGCCUUGCGCUAUCAGAUGAGCCUAGGUCGGAUUAGCUAGUUGGUGAGGUAAUGGCUCACCAAGGCGACGAUCCGUAACUGGUCUGAGAGGAUGAUCAGUCACACUGGAACUGAGACACGGUCCAGACUCCUACGGGAGGCAGCAGUGGGGAAUAUUGGACAAUGGGCGAAAGCCUGAUCCAGCCAUGCCGCGUGUGUGAAGAAGGUCUUCGGAUUGUAAAGCACUUUAAGUUGGGAGGAAGGGCAUUAACCUAAUACGUUAGUGUUUUGACGUUACCGACAGAAUAAGCACCGGCUAACUCUGUGCCAGCAGCCGCGGUAAUACAGAGGGUGCAAGCGUUAAUCGGAAUUACUGGGCGUAAAGCGCGCGUAGGUGGUUUGUUAAGUUGGAUGUGAAAGCCCCGGGCUCAACCUGGGAACUGCAUCCAAAACUGGCAAGCUAGAGUACGGUAGAGGGUGGUGGAAUUUCCUGUGUAGCGGUGAAAUGCGUAGAUAUAGGAAGGAACACCAGUGGCGAAGGCGACCACCUGGACUGAUGCUGACACUGAGGUGCGAAAGCGUGGGGAGCAAAC
rnacentral:rRNA from 1 species